rnacentral:rRNA from 1 species
CCCUUAGAUGUCCUGGGCCGCACGCGCGUUACACUGAUGCAUUCAACGAGCUUAUAACCUUGGCCGAGAGGCCUGGGCAAUCUUGUUAACGUGCAUCGUGAUAGGGAUAGAUUAUUGAAAUUAUUAAUCUUGAACGAGGAAUUCCUAGUAAACGCAGAUCAUCAAUCUGCAUUGAUUACGUCCCUGCCCUUUGUACACACCGCCCGUCGCACCUACCGAUUGGAUGGUCCGGUGAAGCCUCGGGAUUGUGGUUCUUGCCGCUUUAUUGUGGCGUGACCGCGAGAACUUGUCUAGACCUUAUCAUCUAGAGGAAGGUGAAGUCGUAACA